CCUACGGGGGGCUGCAGUGGGGAAUAUUGGACAAUGGGGGCAACCCUGAUCCAGCCAUGCCGCGUGUGUGAAGAAGGCCCUCGGGUUGUAAAGCACUUUCAGUGAGGAAGAACGCCUGGUGGUUAAUACCCAUCAGGAAAGACAUCACUCACAGAAGAAGCACCGGCUAACUCCGUGCCAGCAGCCGCGGUAAUACGGAGGGUGCGAGCGUUAAUCGGAAUUACUGAGCGUAAAGCGCGCGUAGGUGGCUUGAUAAGCCGGUUGUGAAAGCCCCGGGCUCAACCUGGGAACGGCAUCCGGAACUGUCAAGCUAGAGUGCAGGAGAGGAAGGUAGAAUUCCCGGUGUAGCGGUGAAAUGCGUAGAGAUCGGGAGGAAUACCAGUGGCGAAGGCGGCCUUCUGGACUGACACUGACACUGAGGUGCGAAAGCGUGGGUAGCAAACAGGAUUAGAUACCCUGGUAGUC
rnacentral:rRNA from 1 species